ACAUAGCUAUGUGAUUAAUCUUUAUUAUUUAAUAAUAUAUUUAUUAUAAUUUUAUUAUCAUUAUUUUAUUCUUAUUAUUAUCAUAUAUAUCAAAUUAUUAAUAUCUAUUCACAUGUUCUCACUCUGCUCUCUGAUAACAUUCUAUGUAUUUAUAUAUGUGUAUGUGUAUACUAUAAAAACAAUAUAUAUAUAUACCUGGUGCACACAUGUUAGAAUUAUUCUUUUCCAUUUCAUCUAAAUCAUCAUCCUCACUAUUUAUCUCAUCAUCAUCAUCCGAACAAGCAGAUUUUGAUUUUGAAGUGCCAUUUGUUAAUCGAACUUUGCCCCUUUUAGCUUUCCCUUUUGUAUUUUUUGCAUUAUUAUUGCGUCUUCUUGCAGAUUUCCAGUUUGAAAUAAUUCUUCCCAUAUGCUCUUCAAACAUGGCUGAUAAUCUUAUUGUCAUUGAAUAUAUCUAGAAUAAAGAUUGUACCAUUAUCUUGUACAAUAGUUGUAAUAUUCUUCACAUAGUAUUGUAAUAAAUAUGGCAUACCCUUGAUCGUUUGUUAGUAUUAUAAUUUCUACUAUUUGUAAAUAUUAAUCGCAUAUCUUUGGCAAACUCUAUAGGAGUUUCAUAAUUUCCUCCUAAUAAAUCCUCUUUUACCGUACGUAAAUCCAUUGGUGUAUCUAUAAUUUGAUGAUAAUCUGGGUGCUCUAAUCUAUCAACUGGUUCUCU
rnacentral:misc_RNA from 1 species